AUUGAACGCUGGCGGCAGGCCUAACACAUGCAAGUCGAACGGCAACACGGUGAAGCCUGGUUCUUUGCUGAGGCGUGUGGCACGGGUGAGUAGUGUACGGGAAAAUGUAUGUUGGCGGGGGGUAACUACUGGGAAAGGUAGCUCAUAUAGCAUAACGUCGCAAGGGCUAAAAGGGGGACCUUUGGGGCUCUUGCCAUCGGAUGUGCCCAGAUGGGAUUAGCUAGUAGGUGGGGUAAAGGCUCACCAAGGCGACGAUCCCUAGCUGGUCUGAGAGGAUGACCAGCCACACUGGAACUGAGACACGGUCCAGACUCCUACGGGAGGCAGCAGUGGGGAAUAUUGGACAAUGGGCGCAAGCCUGAUGCAGCCAUGCCGCGUGGAUGAAGAAGGCCUUCGGGUUGUAAAGUACUUUUGUCGGGGAAGAAAAGAAGAAGGUUAAUACCCCGGUGCAUUGACGUUACCCGAAGAAUAAGCACCGGCUAACUCCGUG
rnacentral:rRNA from 1 species